UACGGAGGGUGCGAGCGUUGUUCGGAAUCACUGGGCGUAAAGGGCGUGUAGGCGGUCCGCUAAGUCUGAUGUGAAAGCCCGGGGCUCACCCCCGGAAGUGCAUUGGAAACUGGCGGACUCGAGCCGGAGAGGAGAGUGGAAUUCCUGGUGUAGCGGUGAAAUGCGUAGAUAUCGAGAGGAACACCGGUGGCGAAGGCGGCCUUCUGGACAGUGACUGACGUGAGACGCGAAAGCGUGGGGAGCAAACAGG
rnacentral:rRNA from 1 species